NNNAGAGAAGAUUAGCAUGGCCCCUGCGCAAGGAUGACAUGCCAUUCGUGAAGCGUUCCAUAGUUUU
rnacentral:snRNA from 1 species